GUCUCCAGCUGGGGGACGUCUUGCUCUUCACUGUCACCACACACUACUACCCCCAGUAUGACAUUGCCAAUCUCUUCAACACAAACCGUGAUUUCGACUGGGGUGUAUUUACCCUGCUGGCGGACGAGCUGGCCCUGUCCUCGCCUCCUCCCACCCUGUUUCCCCUGGUAUUCAGCAUGCCUGGAACAUAUGUCCUGAAGCUUAGCAGCAAUCAGUACAAACACAUGUGGGGUGUGCGGAGCCGACCGAUGAGUUCUGGGAUUAUGAGAAGCAGGUGGACCUGGAAGCCUUCAGCACCAACACCUUUUAUAACCUCCUGCUGAAGCAGAGCCUGUCCGUCACGUCCCGCCUGGGACAGCUCACCACCGAGGUCAGCAUCCGACACACACCCAUGCAUGCACACGCACACACACAUGCACGCACGCGCACACGCACGCACACACAAACGUGCGCGCACACGCUCACACACACACACACACACACACACAUGCGCAAACUUGCACGCACACACUCACAGAAACCCACUCGCACGCGCUCACGCACACACGCGCACACACACACACACACAACUCUCAUCAUUCACACAGGUUAGAC
ensembl:lncRNA